CUUUAAUAGGUGUGAAAACAAAAAUUACAGUGCGGUGAAGCACAUUUUUUUUUUUUAAUAUGGAGCCAAAUGUAUGUCUGGCUGGCUGAUUCAUUAAUCAUAUUGCUCACUUUAUUUGCAUUAGAGUCAAGGGCUCAAGGCCACCAGCCAGUUUUACAAUGUGCCAUAUUCAGUAUUCAGUCUGACAACUCUCACUUAAUGACCCAAAAAUGUUGUUCUUGGACACAGACUGAGGAGUUAGUCGACAGCAGCUUGAUUGUUAUUGAAUACCGAGACGAGCAGUUCAAAUGCUUGCAAUGAGUGACUUUGCAACCGAGUCUGCAGC